UUAUUUCAGGAUCCAGUGGGGAUGUUGUGAUGACUCAGUCUCCACUCUCCCUGCCCGUCACCCUUGGACAGCCGGCCUCCAUCUCCUGCAGGUCUAGUCAAAGCCUCGUAUACAGUGAUGGAAACACCUACUUGAAUUGGUUUCAGCAGAGGCCAGGCCAAUCUCCAAGGCGCCUAAUUUAUAAGGUUUCUAACCGGGACUCUGGGGUCCCAGACAGAUUCAGCGGCAGUGGGUCAGGCACUGAUUUCACACUGAAAAUCAGCAGGGUGGAGGCUGAGGAUGUUGGGGUUUAUUACUGCAUGCAAGGUACACCAUUGUGUGUGCAGUUUUGGCCAGGGGACCAAGCUGGAGAUCAAACGUAAGUACUU
rnacentral:lncRNA from 1 species